rnacentral:rRNA from 1 species
GACGAACCGUCCAAACGUUAUUCGGAAUCACUGGGCUUAAAGGGUGCGUAGGCUGCGUUGUAAGUUGGGCGUGAAAGCCCUCGGCUUAACCGAGGAACUGCGCUCAAAACUGCAGUGCUUGAGGAAGAUAGAGGUGAGCGGAACUUAGGGUGGAGCGGUGAAAUGCGUUGAUAUCCUAAGGAACACCUGUGGCGAAAGCGGCUCACUGGAUCUUAUCUGACGCUGAUGCACGAAAGCUAGGGUAGCGAACGGG